rnacentral:lncRNA from 1 species
UUACCGUGUUGAUAGAUAUUGUGUGCGUUUAUUGUGUGCUUAUCGUACUUGACAUUCGUCGACUGGAUAUUUUGCGCGUUUCGGAACGUCCUCCCGCAAGUGGGGGAUGAUGCAUCGUCGUUCGUCGCCACUCAGAACAGCCUCAUCGGACGCGCAGCUUUGUCUCCGCGCUCAAAAGUGCUUUCUUGCUUCGUUUAUCGAUUACUCACGUUAAUCGCGUGAUUCAAUAUCGAGUGUACCUCCAAAGACAAUCCACUUCCCAGUGCUGUGACAAGCGGCGACCGCGGUUGUACAGGAGCGGAAGCGUGAGCCUUUUGACGAGCGACUGUGAAGAAUGCAAAGCCAGUGCCAAACUUCGGAACCGAUAGCCCGGGCGGCGUGUUGGCACAGCGAGGAUGAGAACGAGAGACCCGAUAGACACCGAUGACAGCUGUUCACGGCACCGACACAGAGGACAGAUUGCAGUGCAAGAUAGGAGCGGUCUUCCUGCAAGCCCAGACAAGCCAUAUUGAGUGGUUUCAAAUACAGCAACUGUACCACCACGACAGUGCAGCACAAGAGACCCUAUCGUCAGUGCUGAGUCAGAAAUUAAAUAG